GAUCACUGGCAUUAGGGAAAACUCAAAACCAGCCACAUACAUGGUAUGAAAAAUGUCAGGCCGGCGUGGGUUCGGUUCACUAAGCUUUCUCUUCCAUCUCAUCAGACUAGACCUCGCAGCCGCUCGAUCCCGCCCAGCCCUACCGCCUGCCACCAGCUUUAGGCUUCGUGGACACGCCCAGCCCCUGCUCCUGAGCCCAGAAACCGCUACGCAAGCCUCCAGGCUGUAUUCAGGAAACUAGAACAACACUGCUGGACGGAGUCCUCCGCCGCUCUUCCGUGUAGACAUCAGGGUUAGAACAGCAUGGAGUCGCAGACGUGGAAUGCCUACACCGCAAGCUGGGCCUUUCUCCUGAUGCUCGCAGGCACUCGUCUCCACUUCGCACGCACGGAGACUUGUAUUGGAAAAUUAGUCACUGCUGACCCGGAGGGCGCUGCCCUCGAGGGACACACCGUGCUGUGGGGAAGACAGCUGAGCGCACGGCAGCUCACAGCGCGGGCCACGGGUGAUGGGUGCGCUCUGCCCCGGGACUACGGGACACGGUUGAUGGGUGCGCUCUGCCCCAGGACUAUAGGAAGGAAAACCCCAGCUGGGCAAGAAUUAGUCCCAUUAGGUUUGCAAGAGUGUUUCCUCGCUCCGUCUGUUCACACCGGCCCGAUUCCCGGUUCCCAUCCGUUUUCCAACAGCUAAGCCGUAAAAACGCCAUCAUCGGGGGCUGAGGCGGGUCCUUCGCCGCCAAGUCAGUGACGUGAGGUUGGCGGGACAGUGUGCUAACGAGUUUUCAAGAUCGACCACAAAUGUGUACGUUGUCUCAGCUGGGAAACUGGAGAGCAGAAAAACCAGAAGGGGGCCGAGUGCACAUAAGCCACAUCCGACGCUGGGGGGUGUAAAACUGCAAGCACCUCGGAAAGACUAAUUAACGAUGCUUUAGAAGAAGCCAACUCCAGCAGGGCCAGUGGCGCAAUGGAUAACGCGUCUGACUACGGAUCAGAAGAUUCCAGGGCUCGGCUGUCCACGUCCACACGGCAACAGCCCACCGCGAUCCCAUAACCGACGGAGCAGCUGCUGAAGGACGAGGGCAGAGCACACGGGGAUCACGGAUCAGCGGGAAACUUCCCGCAGGAAGAAGCAGCUGGUAGGCGAUGAGCCGUCACACAGAGACAGGGACGACCUGGAUCGCGAAAAUAAACUCACUUUGAACACCUACGUUGGGAUCUUCAGACGAGAAGAGGAAAGUUCCACCCAUCGCCCUGCUGGACGGAGUUGUUGCAUCCAACAUCAGAACUGAGCCCUAAUUCCUCCUCUGUUUGCCACGCUGCCAUAGGAAAUGCCGUCUCUGCACGUCCGGACCAGUGGCUCCUCAGCACCUCCCCAUAUAAUUAUGAGAUCAGAUUUCGAAAGGGUUUCUCACCCAAGGGCCAGGGGCCAGUGCCAGCUAGCAACGAUCCCUGCGUCCCAGGAGGCACGGUGACCCCCCACCCCCAGUGCCUAGGAGCACGCAGUAGGCCUGCCGGUGGGGAUUCGUGGAGUGAAUGACAGUGUCUAACUGCAACAGAGUGACUGUGCAGGUUCUCUGCCCAGACCACUAGGAUGUGCUCUGACCCUCCUCUUGGCCUUCGCACCUGGCUCUUAGCUCCGGCCCCUGGUGGAGUGGUGUGGAGAUGAGAAUUCAGUCACAGUCGUGACUAAAUUCAUUUACCAGCCAACUUAGCUAAAGACACUGUCCAAAUACUUUAUCCUGGCAUCCAAAGCCAUUCAUGAUGAGGGCUGGCCUGUCCAACAGCUUCACUCCUGGAAUUUCAUCCCGUGCAGACUCUAGAAAAAGUAAGUCACUCUUAAUUGACCUUCAAAACCUGUUCUUUUAUUUUUCUAAGACUUUGCACAUUCCCUUGGGUAAAGCAGCUGAAGGACCUCUCAUCCUUAAAAUGGAAUUGUGGGAGCACCUGGGUGGUACGACUGACUCUUGGUUGCGGCUCAGGUUGUGAUCUCAUGGUGGUGAGAUCGAGCCUCGUGUCAGG